CCUACGGGAGACUGCAGUGAGGAAUAUUGGUCAAUGGGCGCGAGCCUGAACCAGCCAAGUAGCGUGCAGGAUGACUGCCCUACGGGUUGUAAACUUCUUUUAUAAAGGAAUAAAGUGAGGCACGUGUGCCUUUUUGUCUGUACUUUUUGAAUAAGGAUCGGCUAACUCCGUGCCAGCAGCCGCGGUAAUACGGAGGAUCCGAGCGUUAUCCGGAUUUAUUGGGUUUAAAGGGAGCGUAGAUGGGUUGUUAAGUCAGUUGUGAAAGUUUGCGGCUCAACCGUAAAAUUGCAAUUGAUACUGGCAGUCUUGAGUGCAGGUGAGGUAGGCGGAAUUCGUGGUGUAGCGGUGAAAUGCUUAGAUAUCACGAAGAACUCCGAUGGCGAAGGCAGCUUACUAAACUGCCACUGACAUUGAUGCUCGAAAGUGUGGGUAGCAAACAGGAUUAGAUACCCUUGUAGUC
rnacentral:rRNA from 1 species